UGGCCGUUGCUGUUUCGUUUUCGUAUUACAGAACUAGUAAUCGAGCUGACAUGUACCGAGUGAGGCUGUUUCUGCUAUUUGGAAAGCAAGCGGAGGCUGCGGUUGUCACGGAUUUCGCGCUGAGCGAAAAGAGUUCAGUUGACACACUUGGGUUAUGGAUUUGCGUUU